rnacentral:rRNA from 1 species
CGUAGUGGCGCACGGGUGCGUAACGCGUGGAAUCUGCCCUUAGGUUCGGAAUAACAGUUAGAAAUGACUGCUAAUACCGGAUAAUGACGUAAGUCCAAAGAUUUAUCGCCUAGGGAUGAGCCCGCGUAGGAUUAGCUAGUUGGUGGGGUAAAAGCUCACCAAGGCGACGAUCCUUAGCUGGUCUGAGAGGAUGAUCAGCCACACUGGGACUGAGACGCGGCCCAG